rnacentral:rRNA from 1 species
GAGGAAAGCUGGCGGCGUGCUUAACACAUGCGAGUCGAACGGAAAGGCCCUGCUUGCAGGGUACUCGAGUGGCGAACGGGUGAGUAACACGUGGGUGAUCUGCCCUGCACUUCGGGAUAAGCUUGGGAAACUGGGUCUAAUACCGGAUAGGAGCCAUCUUUAGUGUGGUGGUUGGAAAGUUUUUUCGGUGUAGGAUGAGCUCGCGGCCUAUCAGCUUGUUGGUGGGGUAAUGGCCUACCAAGGCGGCGACGGGUAGCCGGCCUGAGAGGGUGUACGGCCACAUUGGGACUGAGAUACGGCCCAGACUCCUACGGGAGGCAGCAGUGGGGAAUAUUGCACAAUGGGCGCAAGCCUGAUGCAGCGACGCCGCGUGGGGGAUGAAGGCCUUCGGGUUGUAAACUCCUUUCGCUGGGGACGAAGCUUUUUUGUGACGGUACCUAGAUAAGAAGCACCGGCUAACUACGUG